CCUACGGGAGGCUGCAGUGGGGAAUAUUGGACAAUGGGGGGAACCCUGAUCCAGCCAUGCCGCGUGUGUGAAGAAGGCCCUCGGGUUGUAAAACACUUUCAGUGAGGAAGAACGCCUGGUGGUUAAUACCCAUCAGGAAAGACAUCACUCACAGAAGAAGCACCGGCUAACUCCGUGCCAGCAGCCGCGGUAAUACGGAGGGUGCGAGCGUUAAUCGGAAUUACUGGGCGUAAAGCGCGCGUAGGUGGCUUGAUAAGCCGGUUGUGAAAGCCCCGGGCUCAACCUGGGAACGGCAUCCGGAACUGUCAAGCUAGAGUGCAGGAGAGGAAGGUAGAAUUCCCGGUGUAGCGGUGAAAUGCGUAGAGAUCGGGAGGAAUACCAGUGGCGAAGGCGGCCUUCUGGACUGACACUGACACUGAGGUGCGAAAGCGUGGGUAGCAAACAGGAUUAGAUACCCCAGUAGUC
rnacentral:rRNA from 1 species